AUGUGGUUUGUAAGAUCUUCUGAGUGGUUGUUAAAGCAUUGCUAUAUGGUUGCUACUAGGUUUUACAGUGGUUAAACAGAACAACUGGAAUCACAAAGGAGUCACAUGACCCUCCCGGUGGGACACCGGUCUGUAACCUCUCAGGUCUCCUGCAUCUUCUCCACGCUUACAUUUACAUGGGGACGACAGUACCACGAACAUUUGACCAGUAAUGUUCUUUCGGCAAUCACUGAUGCUUGAUGGGAAGAGAUGGCUUUCGACAUUCCUGUUUUCUACAUGAGGAGGCCUGCAUUAAUCAUUACUGCUGAUUUUACCCAGAUUGAUUGGGGCAGAAUUGUGCACAGAUGAGUGUUUUGCAUUAACAGGCCUCCACUCUUCAACACAAAGCCCAGCCCGAGUCAUCAGCACUCAGCUGUCAUAAUUAGCCAGGCUGAUUGUGGUUCUUCAUGAGAUCCAAGGCUUAUGAAGACUAGCCUACAAAAUCCACGAUAGAAAAGGGAAACCGGGGUCAACAGAGCCUAACAGUAGGGUUCCAGAAGAAAAAAUCCCAUUCUUUUUCUCCAUAGAGAAUAGGACUUUUGAUAAUAAGUCUUCAAGACAGAUCUAGUGUGAGCUCUGAGUUUUUUUUUAAAGAGAUUACCUGUGUUUUCAACUUUAGUUUUUAAAAAAAAAUCAUCUGAUUUUCAAAUUUGAUAGUUUUUUCAAACCCUUUGUAAUAAAGUUUGUAAAGUUUU